rnacentral:rRNA from 1 species
UAACGGCCCACCAAAGCGACGAUCAGUAGCCGGCCUGAGAGGGUGGACGGCCACAUUGGGACUGAGACACGGCCCAGACUCCUACGGGAGGCAGCAGUCGGGAAUAUUGCGCAAUGGAGGAAACCCUGAUGCAGCGACGCCGCGUGAGUGAAGAAGUAUUUCGGUAUGUAAAGCUCUAUCAGCAGGGAAGAAAAUGACGGUACCUGACUAAGAAGCCCCGGCUAACUAC